ensembl:lncRNA
AGAGACACUACUUUGCCAACAAAGGUCCGUCUAGUCAAGGCUAUGGUUUUUCCUGUGGUCAUGUAUGGAUGUGAGAGUUGGACUGUGAAGAAAGCUGAAUGCCAAAGAAUUGAUGCUUUUGAACUGUGGUGUUGGAGAAGACUCUUGAGAGUCCCUUGGACUGCAAGGAGAUCCAACCAGUCCGUUCUGAAGGAGAUCAGCCCUGGGAUUUCUUUGGAAGGACUGACGCUAAAGCUGAAACUCCAGUACUUUGGCCACCUCAUGCGAAGAGUUGACUCAUUGGAAAAGACUCUGAUCCUGGGAGGGAUUGGGGGCAGGAGGGGAAGGGGACGACAGAGGAUGAGAUGGCUGGAUGGCAUCACUGACUUGAUGGACAGUUUCCGACCUGCCUGGGAUUCCCUGUGUGCACCGCUAGCUCCAAGGUCACUGCCCAGGACUGAAAGGAGAAGGAGUUGUAGAGGAGGCAGAGAAUGAGACACCCCUGCUAAUGGUAUGCUAACGAGAGAAAUGGAGCAGGAGGUGGACUGCAGGAAGAAGAAGAUGGCCAUGGUGAGGACCAGUACGGAGAUGAAGGUCAAGAAGCAACAGGUAGAACCGGACAUGAAACAAUGGACAGAUUCCAAAUGGGGAAAGGAGUACGUCAAGGCUGUAUAUUGUCACCUGCUUAUUUAACUUAUACACACAGUACAUCACGAAAAAUACCAGGCUGGAUGAAGCACAAGCUGGAAUCAAGAUUGCAAGGAGAAAUAUCAGUAAUCUCAGAUAUGCAGAUGACACCACCCUUAUGGUAGAAAGUGAAGAGGAACUAGAGCUUCUUGAUGAAAGUGAAAGAAGAGAGUGAAAAAACUCAACAUUCAAGGAACUAAGAUCAUGGCAUCUGUUCCCAUCACUUCAUGGUAAAUAGAUGGGGAAACAAUGGAAACAGUGACAGGCUUUAUUUUCUUGGGCUCCAAAAUCACUGAGAACAGUGACUGCAGUCAUGAAAUUAAAAGACACUUGCUCCUUGGAAGAAAAACUAUGACCAACUUAGCUAGCAUAUGAAAAAGGAGAGACAUCACUUUGUCAACAAAGGUCCAUAUAGUCAAAGCUAUGGUUUUUUCAAUAGUUGUGUAUGGAUGUGAGAGUUGGGC